rnacentral:rRNA from 1 species
GACGGAGGGGGCUAGCGUUGUUCGGAAUUACUGGGCGUAAAGCGUGCGCAGGCGGUUCGCUAAGACCGAUGUGAAAUCCCCGGGCUUAACCUGGGAACUGCAUUGGUGACUGGCGAGCUAGAGUGUGGCAGAGGGGGGUAGAAUUCCACGUGUAGCAGUGAAAUGCGUAGAGAUGUGGAGGAAUACCGAUGGCGAAGGCAGCCCCCUGGGCUAACACUGACGCUCAUGCACGAAAGCGUGGGGAGCAAACAGG